UACUCCUACGGGAGGCAGCAGCAGGGAAUAUUGGACAAUGGGCGGAAGCCUGAUCCAGCAAUACCGCGUGAGUGAAGAAGGCCUUAGGGUUGUAAAGCACUUUCAAUUGGGAGGAAAACCUACCGGUCAAUACCCGGUAGCUUGACAUUACUUUUAGAAGAAGCACCGGCUAACUCCGUGCCAGCAGCCGCGGUAAUACGGAGGGUGCGAGCGUUAAUCGGAAUUACUGGGCGUAAAGCGUGCGUAGGCGGUUCGUUAAGUCAGAUGUGAAAGCCCUGGGCUCAACCUGGGAACGGCAUUUGAAACUGGCGGACUAGAGUUUAGUAGAGGGAGUGGAAUUUCAGGUGUAGCGGUGAAAUGCGUAGAUAUCUGAAGGAACACCAGUGGCGAAGGCGACUCCCUGGACUAGAACUGAC
rnacentral:rRNA from 1 species